rnacentral:rRNA from 1 species
UACGUAGGGCGCAAGCGUUAUCCGGAAUUAUUGGGCGUAAAGGAGUCUCUGUGAGGCGGUUUGUCGCGUCUGCCGUGAAAGUCCGGGGCUCAACUCCGGAUCUGCGGUGGGUACGGGCAGGCUAGAGUGAUGUAGGGGAGACUGGAAUUCCUGGUGUAGCGGUGAAAUGCGCAGAUAUCAGGAGGAACACCGAUGGCGAAGGCAGGUCUCUGGGCAUUAACUGACGCUGAGGAGCGAAAGCAUGGGGAGCGAACAGG